AGAAAAUGGAAAGAAUUGGUGGAUGAGUGGGUUGGCUCAUCCCACAUCGAUCUUUAGUGGUGUUUGGAAUAUUUUUGGAGGUCAUUUGGAUUUUGAUGAUCAUGCAGUAGUUGGUGAUAAUCCUCAUUUUAAGGGUUAAAAAAUGAAUCGAUUUAAACCGGAUAAAGAGUGAGCCCCGUUCAAAUUGUUUUCAGCAUGCUACACACAAUGGUUUUAUCACAACUUCAAAUUAAUGCUCUCGAUGAAGGAGUGCAUGCUUUUAGUGCUCAUAUCAAGGACUCGGAUGGAAAUACAUGUACAAAUGUUCAUAUUGCAGAUUCA